rnacentral:rRNA from 1 species
CCUACGGGAGGCAGCAGUGGGGAAUAUUGCACAAUGGGGGGAACCCUGAUGCAGCGACGCCGCGUGAGUGAUGAAGUCACUCGUGAUGUAAAGCUCUAUUAGCAGGGAAGAAAAUGACGGUACCUGACUAAGAAUCCCUGGCUAAUUACGGGCCAGCAGCCGUGGUAACACGCAGGGGGCGAGCGUUAUCCGGAUUUACUGGGUGUAAAGGGAGCGUAGACGGCUGCGCAAGUCCGAAGUGAAAGGCCGGGGCCCAACCCGGGAACUGCUUUGGAAACUGUGAAGCUGGAGUGCGGGAGGGGCAGGCGGAAUUCGUGGUGUAGCGGUGAAAUGCGUAGAUAUCAGGAAGAACACCGGCGGCGAAGGCAGCCUGCUGGACCGUAACUGACGUUGAGGCUCGAAAGCGUGGGGAGCAAACAGGAUUAGAUACCCUAGUAGUC